rnacentral:rRNA from 1 species
GAUGAACGCUGGCGGCGUGCCUAAUACAUGCAAGUCGAGCGAACGGACGAGAAGCUUGCUUCUCUGAUGUUAGCGGCGGACGGGUGAGUAACACGUGGAUAACCUACCUAUAAGACUGGGAUAACUUCGGGAAACCGUAGCUAAUACCGGAUAAUAUUUUGAACCGCAUGGUUCAAAAGUGAAAGAAGGUCUUGCUGUCACUUAUAGAUGGAUCCGCGCUGCAUUAGCUAGUUGGUAAGGUAACGGCUUACCAAGGCAACGAUGCAUAGCCGACCUGAGAGGGUGAUCGGCCACACUGGAACUGAGACACGGUCCAGACUCCGACGGGAGGCAGCAGUAGGGAAUCUUCCGCAAUGGGCGAAAGCCUGACGGAGCAACGCCGCGUGAGUGAUGAAGGUCUUCGGAUCGUAAAACUCUGUUAUUAGGGAAGAACAUAUGUGUAAGUAACUGUGCACAUCUUGACGGUACCUAAUCAGAAAGCCACGGCUAACUACGUG